CCCCCGUUUUCCCCUCCUUCUCCACCUCCCCCUCGCCUCCUCCCCACACCCACGCGGUCCCGGCUGCGCGCCUGCACCUCCCUCCUCCGCCGCCGUGCCCCCACGCCCCCCAUUUUCCCCUCCUUCGCCUCCCUCUCGUCUCCACCAUCCCCGCCGCCGCCUCCCCAAUCCGCGCGGGGAGGGCGCGAGGCGGCCAUGCACCAUGCCCUAAGGACGGUGUGCCCCUCGCCUCCCCACUACGCGCCGCCAGGCCCGUCCUCGCCGCCUUGCACAUCCGCGCGGAGCCUGUACAGCUGCUGCGUGGUCUAGGGUUCCAAGCAGAUCACCGUCGCUCGACGUUGCUGCCUGAGUCCGGCGUCGGCUGCCCGCCCCACCAUUGUGCCCGCACACCUGCCGUCUCCUGCAGCCGCCAUUGGGCUCAGGCACGUUGGAGGUAGGCACCCUACCUCAGCCGGCCUCCAAUCGAUGUUUCUGCCUCCUUCUCGGCAUGGAUUCAGGUGAAUAGGUCGGUUGUUCUGGGGAAAUCGAACAUCGUUCCGACGGAUUUGGCUGCCGCCUCCGCCUCAACUUCUCACCACUACCAGAUGAUACCUAUCUGAUGGUUCUUGAAGGCGUGGUUUACAUGGCUGUGCCGUUCUACAAGAGGGCCAGGAAGAUCGAAGAGAAGCCUGGGGACAUCGGCCUCGCCGUCGCCCUUGCGAGGGCGGAGGAAGGAGAGGUCGCAGACGUGGAGGAUGCUAGAGGCAACAGGCUCCUCGUGGUGGUGAAUCUGGAGGUUAGGGAGGCGGCGCACGGAGAGAUCGGAGUCAGGGACGACGAUGGGGACGACGGUGGACCUAAACCCGGAACAUCGAUAUUUUACCUGCAGUCCUGCUCGUGUAAAGUUAUGUGGGCUCAAAUCGUCUCAUGACAAUUUUCAACUUGCACCUGGUGAUUAUCAUAAAAAAGGUUGACUACAAUGAUGAAGGUGUUGUCUGUCUAAGCUUAGCUAAUCCGUUUGGCACUCCUGUCUGAGAUACUGAAGCCAAGAAACUAUGGAUGGCAAAGGUGCUUGCCUAGCUUAGUUGUGCUUGGCUGAACUUGUAGCAUCAUUUGGGGUUAGCUCAUUGCAUAUUAUUUUAAUCUUAUUUGUCAAGCUUUUACAU